rnacentral:lncRNA from 1 species
UACUUAGCAUUUUUUUUUUUUUUUACUUAGACCUUUUGAAUUUGCUUUUAAUUUAUACCCCUGGCCUUGUUCUCUUGACCAAAUAAAAGCCCUAAGAGAGCUUCCACUGCCAGCAGCCUUCCAAUUUGCUCUGUUCCCCCUUGGGCCCUGUUGAUUGGGCCCAGUGAUCACCUAAAAAGAGUGCAAAGAGUCAGGAAGGCUUGUGGGUUCAGUCUUUCUGUGCUAACACCAGGCCACAUCCAGGCCUGAUGUACUAACUGAUCUCCAGUUCAUUCCUUUUGCAAUUUUUGGCCUUGAUUCAUAGUUCCUGAUUCUUGAUUGGCUCUGAAAUCCUCCCCAUUUUCAAAAGGGAUGCAGUCAAGCAGGCCAAAGCGCUCCAUGUUAGCUAACAAAUGUUUGCAAAUCAUAAUAAUGUAGGAAGAGAACCAUAAACUAAAUGAACAACAGGCAUUAGCCCUCAUGCUGUCACAUAAGCAUUCCUCAAAAUAUAAUCAUGCUUCUAAACAUGGGCUGGCAAUUCAGGAAAGGGCCACUGAAAAUAUUAGCCUCGUUCUUUUCUCUGUAGAGUGAGCACAGACUAUUCCUAAACCACAUUGCAGUAUGCCAACAUUGUAAAUUAAUGCCUGAUUGGUUACCUAGAAGUAAGACAAUCUUACUUUUAGGCAUCUAGAACACUGAGAAAUCCAGGAUGGACACUUAACACUACCAAAGAUUGAUCUAUUUUGGGUAAGUAUACUUCUGAUCUCUUUUUGAGGACUGUAUUAGUCCAUUUUCACACUGCUAUAAAGAACUGCCUGAGGCUGGGUAAAUUAUAAAGGAAAGAGGUUUCAUUGACUCAGAGUUCUGCAUGGCUGGGGAGGCCUCAGGAAACUUAACAGUUAUGGCAGAAGGCAAGGGAGAAGCAGGUACCUUCUUUACAAGGCGGCAGAAGAGACAGAGAGGGCAGGGGAAACUGCCAUUUUUAAGCUAUCAGAUCUUGUCAGAACUCCGUCACUAUCACGAGAAGAGCAUGAGGGAAACUGCCCCCAUGACCCAAUCACCUCCCACCAUCCCCCGCUCAACACGUGGGGAUGACAAUUCAAGAUGGAAUUGUGUGGGGACACAGAGCCAAACCAUAUCAAGUACCUACAAAAUUAUGGUGACUCUUCACUAAUUUGCAAACUGAUUAUCUGCAAAUCUUAAAUAGGGAAUAAAACACAAAAAUAUCAUUAUCCCUCCAGAACUGAGGACGCAAAUUGGAUUUAGAAGACUUAGCUUUGACACCUAGAUAUGUUUUCAUUGAUUUGACCUAACUUGAUCUCAGUUUCUCUUUUAUAGAGUUAGUUCUUUAGAUCAGAGGUCCCCAACCCCAGGACUGCGGACUGCCACUGGUCUUUGGCCUGUCAGGCACCCGGCCACACAGCUGGAGUGUGAAAAAAAAGGAAAAAACUGAAAAUCUCAAGAGGAUUCCAGGAAAUCAAAACAAUGAAUUAUUGAAUCAAGAAUUUGAAAGAGAAAAUAGAUGCAUACUGAAAAAAGAAUUUUGUUUAGUGAGAUAGAUGUAAUAAUGAAGGCAUGUUGAUAACGGGGGAGCUAUGUAUAUAUGAGGGGAGGGAUAUAUUGGAAAUCUCUGUAUCUUCCUCUCAAUCUUGCUGUGAUCCUAAAACUGCUCUAAAAAAUAUUUUGAGAAGGAAUAAUGAUGUGGUAAACAUGUUCUGUUAUUUAAAAAGAGAGACUUUUCAUAGCCGCCUCCCUCCCCCUCUACACACACACAGAGUCCUGUCCGUCUUCAUUCCCUUACUCAAUAAUUUGUACAGACACAGCCACUGGGCUCCAGUAAUCCUAAAGUUUCUAGAAAAUCAAGCACAGAAAAAGGUUAAAACCCUGAGGGAAUAAAAGAAUUCCUUUGCAUCCAUUGCAUUUCUCAGGAAGUGAACUAACAAAUUCACUGCUUUUAAAUGAGGAAAUUUUCUCAGUGAAAUUGAUUCCAAACCUUCGUUAGGUCAACUGUUCCCAGAUUUCUUAGCUGAUGCCUGAUCUGACUAUUCCUUAUCUUUAGUACAGAAACCAAGGUGAAUGACCUUUAAAAAACAUAUUAGACUGUUGACGUGUCUUCUAUGUUGUACUCUAGGUAAAAACGAUAAACCAGGAAAAAGAAAGUAAAAUUCAACCUUAGGCUCAUGGAUCCAGAGUGGAUAAUUAUGAGUCUGUAGUAUCUACAUGCAUGUGAUGAGGUUCAAGGACAAUAACCAUAAAGCAAAGACUUAAAAGGUUUUAUCAUUAGAAUAAUUGUAAUUCACUUGAUCUCUCAAUGUAACAAUACUUCGGUCUACUGUCUCAAGCCAUUAUUAUGUCUUACACUCAGCAUAUUGGUUUGUCUACCAUUAAAUAUUUAUUUUCUACAGUGCUUUCUGGAAGGCAAACAAAGCAGCCACUCUGCUACUUUAUAUUGAUUCCUGAGUUGUCCUUCGGAAACGCUUUCAGGAAGUUUAAUAGGUUUGAAAGAUAUUUAGACCUGUGACUGGCAAAUAUACUUCCUUCUUUUUAUUUCAAUAAGAGAGUACUAGAACUUAGAUCUUUAUUGUUUAAUCUAGUCAGUGCUGUCAUUGUCAAUCAAGUUCUCAAAUGACACUUGUCCUGAGCUGUAACUGAUCUAUUCAGAAGAAUAUGAAAAUAGUAAAGACGGCAACUAUGCAUGUUUUUACCGGACACGAUUUUAAUUGCUUUAAAAUGAAGUUAUGCAACCAAUGAGGAAUGGAGCUUUUGGAGUGGCCUGAAGCUAAAGGUUUCAGGUGUAUUUUUGCUUUCUUUGAAGAAAGAACCAAAUCAUUUUAUUUAAUAAAAAGGCCAUUUAUCAAGAAUUUCUUAAAGCUGUUUUAAACCUGAGUUUGCAAUUUAUAGAAUAUGUUCAAGCAGCCUCAGUGCCCUUUUAAUUGGAUGGUUUUCACAGAUUUAUCCAAUUUGAGAUUUAUCCAGUGAGAAUUCCCUUUGUUCAAGUAUAUAUGUCUUCUCUUCCAUAAAGCAGAUUCAAAUGAAAGAGUGCAAUCUGAUAUAUCAGACAUGUCAGUUAUACAUUUGAUGUGGUAAAUUUAUAAGAGAGGCCAAUUAUUGUUAUGAAAAAAUACAAUGAAAUACAUGAUAGUCAUUUACUGUUUUUAUAACUAAUCUAAAAGUAUUUACUAAAAAGAAACUAUUUCUUUUCAUAUGUACUUUACUUUUUACUUUAACCCUUCAUAUGUCCUUUAAAUAAAGAGAAGAAAAAAAGUCA